GUCACAGCGCCCGCCCGCUCCCGGCCGCCGCCGCGCGGGCCCGGAGCCCGCCGCUCCCGCCGGCGUCGGUGUCACGGCGUCGUGAAGGGUGGAAAAGACCUCUGGGAUCAAGUGCAACCUAUGACCGGGCACCACCACGCCAAUCAAACCAUGGCACAGAGUGGCGCGUCCAGGCUCUCCUGUAACACCUCCCGGGACGGUGACUUCUCCAUCUCCCUGGACGCUCCCUUCUGAUUUAUAGUCACUCUUUCUGUGAAGAAAUUCUUCCUAAUGUCCCACCUAAACCUCCCUGGUGCACUUUAGGACUGUAUCUUCCUAUCCUGUCGCUGGUUGCCUGGGAAGUCCCUCUGCCGCUUGCUAAGAGGACACUGCCAGGGCAGUGCCCGAGGGUGGUACCCAGCCAUGAACGUGACUAAGCACAGGACAAGAGGACAAGCUUCACGCCCUGGCCCAAACAGGAUCAGCCAGAGCAGGUUGCCUAGGCUGUAGUUCCAGCUCUGUCAGCCCUUCCUCAUAAGAGAGAUGCUCCAGUCCCUUCAUCACGUUCACAGCCUUUUGCUGCACUGUCUUCAGUAUGUUCGUAUCUUCCUUGUAUUGGAGAAUCCAGGAAAAAACUCCAGGUAUGCCUCAGCAGCGCUGAGCAAAAUGGGAAGGAUCACCUCCCUUGACCUGCUGGAAAUGCUUCCCCUAAUCCAGCCCAGGAUGCAGCUGGCCAUGGGGUCCAUGAUUCACCUCUUGUCCUUUUCUGCUUUCCAGCCAAUGAAGCCCCAAUGUGCACUGGUGCACAGCGUUGUUCCUCCCCAGAUGCAGGUUUUGUUGUUUUCCCUUGCUGAACUUCAUGAGAUGUUUCUCAACCCAGCUCUUCAGCUGGUCAGAGUGACAAGCUCUGUAUGUCUGGUCUCGUUUGUAUGAGGAUUUUUGGGAAGGACUCUGGAUAUGUAUGACUGUUUACAUUUGUGGUACAUUGUGUUUUGAUUAUCUGAAAUCUGUAAUCUAGCACAGAGGCUGGAAUGGUACUGUAUGUUUAUACAAGGUCUUGCAGCCUUCAGAAUUCACAUUGCAAAUGUUGGAAAGUCUGUGUUACUGUGAUAAGUCUGUGUCUGAGAAAUAUUGCUAUACUCUUCUCCUAGAUAAAAACAUGACAUGCGAAGACAUCAAGAUCUGAUUUUAACAGUCAGAUGAAGGUUCCUUGGAGGUGUCAGGAAGCAGAAAUAUUGAGGGAGUUGAAACCCUGUCUUUUGUCCCCUUCAUUAGUCUGCUUGGUGGGUGUGUGUGCUUCAUGUCCUGUCAUUAGACAGCUUCUGUACAAAUUUUCUUUCUCAUCAUUAAUAUCAUAUCUGCCCUAACAGGUAUCGGUGACUUCUGCCUGCUUCAUGACUUUUGGAGUCUUCUGCCUUUGAAUCUGGUUUUCUCUCCAUAUUUGCUGAACACUUAAAGCUUCAAAUGAAACAGAUUGAACCUCUUAGGUAUUCAUUAUGACUGGAGAUGACACUCCAUGUUUCUCAGCAGGAACAACCAGAAGUAGAGACUCCUAAAAUUUUGAGUGCAACUGACUUUGAUCAAAGUUAUAUGACAAGAUAAAGAAGAAGCUUGUAACAGAAUCCAAAAAUAUCAGUGCCUAGUCACUUAAAAUAAAUCAAUUUGAGAGCUUGUAUGAAUAAAUCCUUGGCACUACUGACUUUAAGAAACAAAAUACAAAAAGGAAAAUGAGUACAGAGGAAAUUAUAAAUGUAUAUUCCUCAGAAAUAAAUUCUUUCAUUAAACAGGAGUUAAAUGCUUUUGGAAGUAGUCUGUCACAUCUGUACUUACUUUUUUGUUGUUUUGUUUAUGUUUAGCCAAGAUGUUUGUAAAGAAAUUACUUAAAUAUGUAAUAGUAUCAAUCAACAUAAUCUAAGUAUUGAAUGGUGCUUAUCAAGAAAUCAUUAAUAAAGCUUUUAAAGAA